AAGAGUUAGGGUCUCCCAGGCCCGAUCUCCCAACCCUUUGUUUACCAAACCAUUUGUUGCUUCGGCGAGCCCGUCCCUCGGGACCGCCGGGGGACCUCUUGAGGACCCCUGGCCCGUGCUCGUCGGUGGCCCCAACCUUUAAAUUCUUAACUAAACAUGUCAUGACUGAGUACCAAUUUUUAAUUAAAACA
rnacentral:misc_RNA from 1 species